GAUGAACGCUGGCGGCGUGCCUAAUACAUGCAAGUCGAGCGAACGGGCGAGAAGCUUGCUUUUCUGAUGUUAGCGGCGGACGGGUGAGUAACACGUGGAUAACCUACCUAUAAUACUGGUAUAACUUCGGGAAACCGGAGCUAACACCGGAUAAUAUCUUGAACCACGUGGGUCAAAAGUGAAAGACGGUCUUGCUGUCUCUUAUAGAUGGAUCCGCGCUGCAUUAGCUAGUUGGUAAGGUAACGGCUUACCAAGGCAACGAUGCAUAGCCGACCUGAGAGAGUGAUAGGCGACACUGGAACGGAGCCACGGUCAAGAGUCCUACGGGAGGAAGCAGUAGGGAAUGUGCGGCAAUGGGGGAAAGCCUGACGGAGCAACGCGGCGUGAGUGAUGAAGGUCUCCGGAUCGUAAAGCUCUGUUAUUAGGGAAGAACAUAUGUGUAAGUAAAUGUACAGAUCUUGACGGUACCUAAUCAGAAAGCCACGGCUAACUACGUG
rnacentral:rRNA from 1 species